GCAGAGGGGGCUUAGUGGUGGGGUGACUGCGUACCUUUUGUAUAAUGGGUCAGCGACUUAUAUUCUGUAGCAAGGUUAACCGAAUAGGGGAGCCGUAGGGAAACCGAGUCUUAACCGGGCGUUAAGUUGCAGGGUAUAGACCCGAAACCCGGUGAUCUAGCCAUGGGCAGGUUGAAGGUUGGGUAACACUAACUGGAGGACCGAACCGACUAAUGUUGAAAAAUUAGCGGAUGACCUGUGGCUGGGGGUGAAAGGCCAAUCAAACCGGGAGAUAGCUGGUUCUCCCCGAAAGCUAUUUAGGUAGCGCCUCGUGAAUUCAUCUCCGGGGGUAGAGCACUGUUUCGGCUAGGGGGCCAUCCCGGCUUACCAACCCGAUGCAAACUGCGAAUACCGGAGAAUGUUAUCACGGGAGACACACGGCGGGUGCUAACGUCCGUCGUGAAGAGGGAAACAACCCAGACCGCCAGCUAAGGUCCCAAAGUCAUGGUUAAGUGGGAAACGAUGUGGGAAGGCCCAGACAGCCAGGAUGUUGGCUUAGAAGCAGCCAUCAUUUAAAGAAAGCGUAAUAGCUCACUGGUCGAGUCGGCCUGCGCGGAAGAUGUAACGGGGCUAAACCAUGCACCGAAGCUGCGGCAGCGACGCUGAUGCGUUGUUGGGUAGGGGAGCGUUCUGUAAGCCUGCGAAGGUGGCCUGUGAGGGUUGCUGGAGGUAUCAGAAGUGCGAAUGCUGACAUAAGUAACGAUAAAGCGGGUGAAAAGCCCGCUCGCCGGAAGACCAAGGGUUCCUGUCCAACGUUAAUCGGGGCAGGGUGAGUCGACCCCUAAGGCGAGGCCGAAAGGCGUAGUCGAUGGGAAACGGGUUAAUAUUCCCGUACUUGGUGUUACUGCGAAGGGGGGACGGAGAAGGCUAUGUUGGCCGGGCGACGGUUGUCCCGGUUUAAGCGUGUAGGUGUGUGUUCCAGGUAAAUCCGGUUCACUUUAACACUGAGGCGUGAUGACGAGGCACUACGGUGCUGAAGCAACAAAUGCCCUGCUUCCAGGAAAAGCCUCUAAGCAUCAGGUAACAUCAAAUCGUACCCCAAACCGACACAGGUGGUCAGGUAGAGAAUACCAAGGCGCUUGAGAGAACUCGGGUGAAGGAACUAGGCAAAAUGGUGCCGUAACUUCGGGAGAAGGCACGCUGACACGUAGGUGAAGUGAUUUACUCAUGGAGCUGAAGUCAGUCGAAGAUACCAGCUGGCUGCAACUGUUUAUUAAAAACACAGCACUGUGCAAACACGAAAGUGGACGUAUACGGUGUGACGCCUGCCCGGUGCCGGAAGGUUAAUUGAUGGGGUCAGCGCAAGCGAAGCUCCUGAUCGAAGCCCCGGUAAACGGCGGCCGUAACUAUAACGGUCCUAAGGUAGCGAAAUUCCUUGUCGGGUAAGUUCCGACCUGCACGAAUGGCGUAAUGAUGGCCAGGCUGUCUCCACCCGAGACUCAGUGAAAUUGAACUCGCUGUGAAGAUGCAGUGUACCCGCGGCAAGACGGAAAGACCCCGUGAACCUUUACUAUAGCUUGACACUGAACAUUGAGCCUUGAUGUGUAGGAUAGGUGGGAGGCUUUGAAGUGUGGACGCCAGUCUGCAUGGAGCCGACCUUGAAAUACCACCCUUUAAUGUUU
rnacentral:rRNA from 1 species